rnacentral:rRNA from 1 species
CCCUUAGAUGUUCUGGGCCGCACGCGCGCUACACUGAUGCAUCCAACGAGUCUAAAACCUGCUCUGAUAGGGGUGGGUAAUCUUUUGAAUGUGCAUCGUGAUUGGGAUAGAUGAUUGCAAUUUUUCAUCUUCAACGAGGAAUGCCUAGUAAACGCAAGUCAUCAGCUUGCAUUGAUUACGUCCCUGCCCUUUGUACACACCGCCCGUCGCUCCUACCGAUUGAAUGAUCCGAUGAAUAUCAUGGAUUGAGGAUGCAAGUAGGUUCGCCUAUCUUCAUCUUCGAGAAGUGAAGUAAAUCUUAUCAUUUAGAGGAAGGAGAAGUCGUAACA